rnacentral:lncRNA from 10 species
GAAAGGGAACUCCCUGACCCCUUGCACUUCCUGAUUGAGGCAAUGUCUCGCCCUGCUUCAGCUCAUGCAUGGUGCGUUGCACCCACUGUCCUGCACCCACUCUCUGGCACUCCCUAGUGAGAUGAACCCGGUACCUCAGAUGGAAAUGCAGAAAUCACCCGUCUUCUGCGUCGCUCACGCUAGGAGCUGUAGACUGGAGCUGUUCCUAUUCAGCCAUCUUGGCUCCACCAAACUCUGACUUCCUUUCUGUUCCAGAGGAGUAGCCAGCCUUGAAUUUAUCAGUUGGGAUGAAGAUGCCCUGCUCAAGUUUACAAGCGGUGUUUUCCAGCUCAGCACAGCUCUUCUUCCUCUGAAGGUGCAUCUCCCUACCUCUUGAUCAUCUGUGCGGCAAAUGCUCCAUGUGCAUUUGGGGACCAUCAUCACUCUUGUCAGUUUUGUCCCUCCUCAGCCAUCAGUGAGCUCAGGUGCACAGCAGUAACGGGAAAUAGUACAUGGCAGUGCCUAAAGGGUUAGUGAGAGAGAGACCAGACCACACAGUCAUUCCCUCUCUAGCAGCCAUCUCUGCAUGAGAAGUGUUGGAGGGACAGCACCACAGGGACAGUGCUCUGUGCACCUCUCCUGUCCCAAUUAGAACCAUCACAGUCACCAGUGCCUCUAAACUGCAAGGGACCCACUAGGCAAAGAGAGCAGACUGGGGCAGAAAUGUCCCAUCAUGGGAGCUGGAGAUUGGGCUGUAGAAUUUCAGACUGGAAGUUAGAGUUUGGCAGGCAUCCUUCUCAGAUUUUCUGGAACAGUUCCAAUUUUAUGCAACAUAAUUUUUUUAAAUAAUGAUGACUCAUUAAAAA